UAAAACAUUAUUGCAAUCAAUGCAUGCUUUUUGCUUUAUGUAUGGACAUAGUUAAACUUAAAGUGCAGUAUAUACCAUUAAUGUGGAUUUAUAAAUCAAGUGCAGUGCUUUUUGAUGCAAUUGCAAAUGCUAUUUGCAAUAAAGAGCUUGAAAUAUUAAGUAUUAUAAGAGUGUUAUCAUAAGCAAAUAUAUCAACACACAAAUAUCAUAACCAUAAAACCUAAAAUAGCUAAAUAAAUAAACCUAAAAUAAUGCAUUUAAAUGUAAUUUAUUUCAACCUGUAUUCAGACCCAUGAAUUAAAAGGAUAAUGGGGAUGAAUAAUAAAUUUGACCCACUCCUCUUGAAAAAUCCUUUUCAGCUUCCAUAGUGUCAUGACUUGAAGGACGAAGGACUCGAGGGCAGGGGUUGUAGCAAAACAAAAGGGGGGUUACUGAACUCAAAAGAACAGAGGCUGGAAAUAAAUGGGAUUGCGGGGAUCACAAAAUGGGAGGAGUGGAACAAGGAAGGGCACGGGCAACAAGAGAGUCAGUGACCGGACUGGGGAACACAGGACUGGGAGGCACGUAUUAUGGGACUAAUCAGAGAACUAACGAGAGGCAGCUGGGAGUGAUUUCCACAUGAGGGUUACGAACGAGAGGGAUAGGCGUAGCUUGUUAGGACCAUGACAGGGAGGAGACGGGCAGGUUUAUAACACAUAGUACUUCUAAAUUCAUAGAUCAACCAAUAACCUUGCCACUAUGCUCUUGAAUGAGCACAUCAACAUACUACAAAAUAUUGACAUUCUCCAUAGUUUAAUUUAUUUAUAAUUGUUUGUAUUUUUAUAUGUUCAUUUAGCAUAAAAUAUAACACUAAAUAUUACCAUAUCUUUCUACAUAGCCAAAAUAACCAUGUGAUUCAUCAAUACAAGUGAAGCCAAAAGUAUGUAAAUCAGAAGCCAGAUUACAAUGAAAACAGAUUAUCCUGGAUGGCAUGGAUUGCAAUUUCACAAUGCAGAUUAUCUGACUUGUGAUGAGACAAAGGAUAUAAACACUGUUGCAGGUAAUAUAUGUUAAAGUAUUUUUUAAUGUGAUGUUUUAAAUGGAGGCUCCAUUCCCUUUGAUAAAAAAAUUCUGCUCCAAUAACAAGUUUUCUGUUAGUAUUGACAUAUUUAUUUGUUUACAAUUAAAUGUGAUUUAAAAAUGAAUUCACAACAGUAGCUAGGCUUCAACUGACAGUGAUUUCUUACCACAGCAGUUUGCCUUGCUUAGUCUUUGGGGGACAGUGAUUGAGGUGGUUAAAGGACAGAAAAACUCACUGAGACUGAAACAACAUGACAUAACAUAACAUCACAGCCUCCUGGCAUAUUUAGAAGGGGGUGUGUGGAAGUCUAGUAGGGAGUACCCUUUGCGGAAGAGAAAGUCUCCUCUGGUGACACCCACACUUGACGUUGCAUAAAAGGUUCCUCUUAAGUGAUGACAUCAUAAAAAGAGGCGACGCAUGCUGGAGAGCUGAGACUCACUGUUAUGAGCGGCACGCCACCUCAGAAUAUACAGCACUGGGGGUAUUCAUCCAUCGAGGGAUCAACAGGCUGCACCUGCAGCAGCAGGAAUGUACCAAGCAAUUGACCAGGCGAGGUUUGCCAGCAGCAAUUACAGCAAGCAGAAAAUGCCGUGGGCUUAACCUUCUUUUUUGCAAGCCCUGUAAUUAGUGACAGAGUGGCACAGUAGGCUAAAAACCUGAUCUUAGAGCAACAGUUUUCCUAAAAUCAAACACCACUGAGAAGCUCAUGGUGGGGGGGGGGGGGGUUCGGUUUUAGCACUGUUAGUUUUGCAUGUUGAAAAAGGACAACCAAAAACAAGCAUCUCUUAUCCAAUUUGAAAGAAAACAACACAGGCAUUAAGUCAUCAUAAUGAUGUCUUCAGACUGUGAAACAGAGGGGCGUUUCUGCUCAUGAGAAAUCCACUGCCUGUUCUCCUCUACGGUCCCUGUCACGACUCCAUGGUUAUUUGUGCUCCUCCCAAAGUCCUCCAUCUUAACAGCCUUGUACCCACUCCCACCUUUUGACGAAUGACUGCCUUAUUAAAUCGCCCAGACUCCACCCUCAUUAGCCAGUGUAAAUGAGUCCUUAAAAAAUGUUCAACUAAUAAGAUCCUACUCCAUAAGACUCAAAGCCGUCUCUGUGCAGCAGUGGCACUAGGGCCGGCAACAAAGAGAGCAGGUCUCCUUCAGGGAAGCUGUAUCCCACUAGAUAAGUGCUACCUCCAUGACAUACGGAGUCGCAGGCUCGUUAACCUCCUUUCUCCUUGUGUUUUUUCAUUCUACCCGACUACCAGCAUUCCACACUCUGAGGUUUCUACAAAUGCGCCGUAAGGCGUAUAGAAAAGGCCUUUGAAGACCCGAUACUUUUUCCCUGUGUUCCCUCACAGAAGGUGACAGAGUAGAUCACAGUUUGCUUCACAGUUCUUGCACCUAGACGGAUUGAGAGAUUACAGAAGAUCAAUUAAAGGCAUGAGAAAUAUGAGGAAUACUUUUCGAUCCAGGCAAGAUAAAUUACUUUAUUUAUGAUUAUGUUUUUUGAUAAAAAACCAUGAACAUGAGAUGUCAGUACAGCAUAAACUGACAAAUUGAGUAAUAUUUGUAUGUGUGUAAUAUUUGUAUGAUUUUUCUUGUUUUGAUAAUGGUUUGAUGGCUAAAUCAAAUCUGUAUUCCCUGCUUACACUAAUAACACGAGGACACCAAAAAGAAUCACUGCAAACCAAGCUCCACCUCUUGCAGCUGGACUGAAUGGACAGCUGUACUGCCUGACUUAUCUAAGUAGCCAUUUUCAUUAUAUUUUUAAAAGACAGCUAGACACAAACUCCAUAUACAGG